GAGCAGAGGAUUGUCGUGCUGA
rnacentral:miRNA from 1 species